ensembl:lncRNA
GGGCUGCUGCUCCCGGCUCAUCCCGGGACGGCGCUCAGCCCUGUGGGCAGAGACGGAGCCGUCGGUGCCGCUUCCAGGAGAACGGCCGCCUCUUCCCAGCAGAGCAGCCCAGGCUGCCCAGGGCCCCAUCCAGCCCGGCCUUGAACACCUCCAGGGAUGGACGGGGCAUCCACAGCCUCUCUGGGCAGCUGUUCCAGCACCUCACCGCUCUCAGAGUAAAGAACUUCCCCCUGACACCCAACCUGCAGCUGCCCUCCUUCAGCUUCAAACCAUUUCCCCUUGUGCUGCUGUUAUCUGCCCUUUCACAGAGUUGCCUCCCCUCCCCUCCUGUUUAUGGGCUCCCUUUAGGUCCUGGAAGGCUGCAAUGAGGUCACCCCUCAGCCUUCUUUUCUCCAGGCUGAACAAGCCCAGCUCCCUCAGCCUGUCUUUGUAGCCCUCUGAUCAUCUUUGUGGCCCUCCUCUGCACCCUCUCCACCAGCUCUCUCUCCUUUGUGUACUGGGGGCUCCAGGCCUGCGCACAGUACUCCAGAUGGGGCCUCCGGAGGGCAGAGUAGAG